rnacentral:rRNA from 1 species
AUUGAACGCUGGCGGCAGGCCUAACACAUGCAAGUCGAGCGGAUGAAGGGAGCUUGCUCCUGGAUUCAGCGGCGGACGGGUGAGUAAUGCCUAGGAAUCUGCCUGGUAGUGGGGGAUAACGUCCGGAAACGGGCGCUAAUACCGCAUACGUCCUGAGGGAGAAAGUGGGGGAUCUUCGGACCUCACGCUAUCAGAUGAGCCUAGGUCGGAUUAGCUAGUUGGUGGGGUAAAGGCCUACCAAGGCGACGAUCCGUAACUGGUCUGAGAGGAUGAUCAGUCACACUGGAACUGAGACACGGUCCAGACUCCUACGGGAGGCAGCAGUGGGGAAUAUGGGACAAUGGGCGAAAGCCUGAUCCAGCCAUGCCGCGUGUGUGAAGAAGGUCUUCGGAUUGUAAAGCACUUUAAGUUGGGAGGAAGGGCAGUAAGUUAAUACCUUGCUGUUUUGACGUUACCAACAGAAUAAGCACCGGCGAACUUCGU